rnacentral:sRNA from 1 species
AGUGCCCUCCUUCUAGACAGAACAGGGGGAAAGGGUGGACUUCACUUAGACAUCAUGUCAGGUUGGAACUCUUGAGGGUGACUUAAGCACUAUCAUCAGUGACAAAUGUACUAAGCCGGCAACUAAGUAGAAUAAAACCCAACUCCACGAUUUCUACAGCAGUAGGAUAUCAUAAGAUUGUUUUUGAUCCUAAAAAGUGUGGACAGUAAUGAUCCUAAUCCUUUUCUCAGAAUUGAGAAAGUGACUGACCACCUGGAAGCCCUCAUUGAUCCGUUUGACCUGGACGUUUUCACGCCACACCUCAACAGCAACCUUCAUCGCCUGGUGCAGCGAACUUCUGUUCUGUUUGGAUUGGUGACUGGUACAGAGAAUCAGCUCGCCCCCCGGAGCAGUACGUUCAACUCCCAAGAACCCCAUAACAUCCUGCCACUGGCAUCCAGUCAGAUCAGGUAAAGGCUGCCAAGAGGCUUCUGCCAGGCACUUUGCGAGGCCGAGGCAGGCGGAUCACGAGGUCAGGAGAUCGAGACCAUCCUGGCUAACACGGUGAAACCCUGUCUCUACUAAAAAAAUACAAAAAAUUCCUAUAGUCCCAGCUACUCAGGAGGCUGAGGCAGGAGAAUGGCAUGAACUCGGGAGGCAGAGCUUGCAGUGAGCCGAGACUGCGCCACUGCACUCCAGCCUGGGCGACAGAACGAGACUCCGU